rnacentral:rRNA from 1 species
AUCUACGGCCAUGCCAUCCUGAACAAGCCCGAUCCCAUCUGAUCUCGGAAGCUAAGCAGAGUCAGGCCUGGUUAGUACUUGGAUAGGAGACCACCUAGGAAGACUAGGUGCUGUAAGUG